UUACAAGGCAUGCCAAAAGGCAGAAAACACAAUUAGAAGAGACAGUGCAAGCAUCAGAACCAGACAUGGCAGGGAUGUUGGAAUUACCAGGUUGGGAAUUUAAAAUAAUUAUAAUUAAUAUGCUGAGGGCUCCACUGGAUGAAGCAGCGUGUAAGAACAGAUGGACAAUAUAAGCAAAGAGAUGGAAAUUCUAAGAAAGAACCAAAAAGGAAUGCCAGAGAGAAAAAAAACUGUAAUCGAAAUGAUGAAUGACUUUGAUGGGUUACUUAGUAGAGUGGACACAGCUGAGGAAAGAAUCUCUGAACUAGAGGAUAUAUCAACAGAAAAGCAAAGGGAACAAAGAUUGAAAAGCAGCAUAGAACAUCCAAGGCCUGGGGGGCAACUACAAAAGCUGUAAAAUAUAUGUAAUGAGAAUACCAGAGGAAGAGAGAGACAGGAACAGAAGAAGUAUUUGAAACAACAGUGACUGAGAAUUUUCUCCUAAAUUAAUGCCAGACGCCAAACCAUAGAUCAAGGAAGCUCAGAGAACAUAAAGCGGAAUAAAUGCCCAAAACUACAUUUAAUCAUAUCAUUUCAACCUACAGAAAAUCAAAGAGAAAAGUCCUAAAGAAGCUGCAGGAAAAAAACACCUUACCUAUGGAGGAAGAAAGAUAAGAAUAACAUCUAACUUCUUCUCAGAAACCAUGCAAAUAAGAAGAGUGGAGUGAAAUAUUCAACAGUGUUGAGAGAAAAAACCCCACCAAUCUAGAAUUCCAUGAAAUUAUCCUUCGAAAGUGAACGAGAAAUAGAGACUUUCUCAGACAAACAAAAACUGAGGGCAUUUGUUGCCUGUAGACCUACCUUGCAAGAAACGUCAAUUUUUUUAGAGAGAAGAAAAAUAGUAUGUCGGGAACUCAGAUCUACAUAAAGUGAGGAAGAGCACUGAAGAAGGAAUAUGCGAAGAUGCUGGAGAUACAAUGCUGAACACCAUACAGUCCUACAGUUGUGCUCGUAAGGAGUUUGUGGACUGUCUGGCAGUUGGACAUUAAUUCCAUCACUGGAGAGGAAGGAAAGGAGAGAGAACAGAACAAAGGAACCUCUGCUCUCCUGCCAUCUUCAUCACUCCUUCUUAGCCCCAGUUACUUCCUCUGCUUGCGGGAAAGAGUGGAACAGGAUGUCUAGAGCAGGCUGGAGUUGGAUAAUUCCCUUCUCCCACGUGGAAGGUACAGCUGACUGGAAUUGGACAGUUCCCUUCCCCCAGAGGUUCCUGGGAAAAAGUCAAGAUUCAAACAACAAUUGAUGGAGAGAAACCUCCACACAGUGAAGCCUAUGGAGGACGAGAGAAAAGACUCUGGAGAAGGGGGACGGAGAAGCCAAGUGCAGAACUGGAAAGGAA
rnacentral:lncRNA from 1 species